rnacentral:lncRNA from 1 species
UUAGGUUUUUCAUGAAAUAUAUUUUCAUUGUAUGUCUAUUUGAUAUUAUAAAUCUUUGUUAUUUUUUCUAUAAUUUUGGUCAAACUUAAAAUAUUUUGCCUCUCAAGAUCUUGGAAUGACUUAUAAUCUGGGACGAAAGAAGUACUUUUUUUUGGCUCAAAAGUAAUCUGGUGAGCAGCUUGCGAGCGAAGGUGUUGAUCGAGUCAUCAAAAAGAAAAAGUUUAGUGCAGUCGGUGUCAAUACUAGUCGUUAUUCAUUCAGACAACCUAAAAUAACAUCAGAGUUAUUAACUUAUGUCCACGUCUAGCGUGGAGAUCUGUCAGUGCUGAGGUGAGGUACCAUGACCCAGGCCAAGGAAAGCAACGGAACAACCGUACCAGGUGUGAUCAUGCUCGUUGAACAAGUUCAGGAGUGCGACCAAAGGAUGCAGAGCACAGCGAUAACGUGCCUGGAUCAGAGCGAUAUGAUCCAACUUGAGUACUUGACUUGACUGCCCCAGUCGUCUCGUCUGUCCUAUAUCAAAACAAGCCACAGCAGAAGAAACCACCACCAUAUUUAGAACAGCUACUUCGUUAUGAUCAAAGGGGUGAAUCAUCAAACUACAGAAACAAUAUCAGAUAUUACAGUUCAAUGUUCGCGUUCACUUCGAUGGGCGGCCAAAUAGAUCAUGAGAUAAAUAGACAAGGUGGUGUACCUUAUGUCCUUCGUUUGAAGCUUGGAUUGAGCCCUGUCCAAUGGUUCUUCACCAUCUUCCUAAUAGCCAUAUGCUUCAACGCCAAACCAUGCACAUGUUCCAGCAGCUCCGACCAGGAUCAGAGGGCAAGGUACACCUGGAACAC